rnacentral:rRNA from 1 species
GACGAACGCUGGCGGCGUGAUUAACACAUGCAAGUCGAGCGGAGCAGCGGACGGGUGAGUAAUGCCUAGGAAUCUGCCUGGUAGUGGGGGAUAACGUCCGGAAACGGGCGCUAAUACCGCAUACUAUCAGAUGAGCCUAGGUCGGAUUAGCUAGGUGGUGGGGUAAAGGCCUACCAAGGCGACGAUCCGUAACUGGUCUGAGAGGAUGAUCAGUCAACCUGGAACUGAGACACGGUCCAGACUCCUACGGCAGGCAGCAUUGGGGAAUAUUGGACAAUGGGCGAAUGCCUGAUCACGCCAUGCCGCGUGUGUGAAGAAGGUCUUCUGAUUGUAAAGCACUUUAAGUUGGGAGGCGUUACCAACAGAAUAAGCACCGGCUAACUCCGUGCCAGCAGCCGCGGUAAUUC